UGCGCAGCUGGGGCGGCCCGGCCCGGCCCGGCCCGGCGGCCGCGGGGAGCCGGUGCGUUGCCGCCGGUGGCGUCCAGUCGCGUCCCGGGGCCGGUGGCCCGUGUGCCCGGGCGGUCCCCUCCUCCUCACUGCGGCCUCCCGAGGGAGAAGGGCCGCGGGGCGCCCACCGCCACCCCGCAUCCGUCCCGGCCGCCGGGUGCGGGGCGGGUGCCCGCGCACCGCCCGUGUGCCCGGCCGGGCGCUGCGUGGGUGAGGGGGUGACUUCAGGGCGGCAAGAAAGCUGAUGGUUUUGGUGUCGUUUCCAAACCCCCCUCACCCCCCAGACCCCCCUUUUUUUUUACUUUCUUGUGUGUGUUUGUGUUUCAGCAGGGUGAGUCCGCUCAGCCUUGUGGCGGGCGAGUGCCUGAGACAACACAGCGCACAGAUUGAAGGUGGGGACGGAUCCUGUUGCCAACAGCAGGAACCAAAUCAUCUCAUGGUGGAGUUACUGCCUCUUCAUCAUCCUGCACUCUUUCCCCAUAUUUGCAGGACAAGCAUUGAGUUCCCGUAACAGGAUGAGUGACAGCAGCAAAGGAGCUUUUGUUAACGUGACUUUAACUUCCUUGCAUUUUUGGUCAGCACAAUUAAGUUCGUCAGUGGUAUGACUACUGUAAGGUGUCUCUGCCAGUAAGACUGAAUUCUUACUUCACAGACUUGAGUCCUACAUGGAAAAUGAGGAGACAUAUAAUGAAAAUCAUUGAAAGUUGUCUUUUAUUUCUGACAAAGAUGUUACCUGUAUUAUUCAGAAGUGUAUAUAUUUUAAAAUUAUGUCUCUUACUGAAUGCCUAUUUUCUAUGAGCUCUGUGUAAUAAACUUUAAUGGGGAGGAUGGAAGAUUCUUCUUAUGGAUAGGUGUCGUUAAAGGAUUUAUUGCGGUUUUCUGCAACAUUAAUUCAGAUUGGCCUAGAUCCAAAUGCUGAUACACGGAUUGAAAAGUUCAAGGAAAUGUAAUGAUUUACUGCAGUAUAUUAAAGUCUGAAGAAAUAUAUGUGUCACUGUAUCACAAGGAAAAGGAUAAGUUUUCCUACAGGGUAAGCAUGAGGAUACAGGUUACAGUUGAGCAAUUUAGGGGUGUGACUGGUAGCCACUCAGAACUAAUUAAUUUCCUUAUCUCCUGUGUCACAGUUGUCUCAGUGCUAAAAUAACGGAGUGUGACUUCCUCUCUCUUGAAGUCUGUUCAGGCAUCUGUGCUCUAAGGGUACCAGGCCCACUGCUGAUACUACACAGCUACGUAACAAUGGCUCUGACUUCUGAAGAAAUUUCUGAGGAAAUUCUGAAUUGUGGGAUUAAAAAAAAAAAAAAAAAAAAGCUGUCAGGAACUCUGAAGAGGCGAUUCAUGUGAGAUGAGAAACCCUGUGCAAUUUCAGCUAAGACAAGGAAAAUCACUGACGUGGGGAGGUAUAAGAUCAUAAAUUAAAACCAGGGUGUCAGAAGGUGGCACAGCUGUGGCUGUGCUCCAGGGUGCUGCAGGAACUGCCCUAGCUCCUGACUCUUGCCUGCCUGGGUAGCUGAGAUUCUGCAUAUGUCUUAUAAAAUACAGUGAGCAUAUUAAUGCCUAACCUAGUAGUGAUCAUUUGUGUGUAAUAACCAAUAAAGAAUUCUUACAAACUGUA